AUCAUUAAGUGAAUACAUAGCUUAAUGAGGGGAACUCAGGGAACUGAAACAUCUAAGUACCUGAAGGAAGAGAAAGAAAUUCGAUUCCGUAAGUAGCGGCGAGCGAACGCGGAUUAGCCCAAACCAAUAAAGUUUUCUUUAUUGGGGUUGCGGACAUAUCAUAACGAAGAGGUAUCGUAAUUGAAGAGGUUUGGAAAGAUCCACCACAGAAGGUAAUAGUCCUGUAUGUUAAACGAGAAGACUUUAGAUAUGAUCCAGAGUACCACGGG
rnacentral:rRNA from 1 species